AACGAACGCUGGCGGCAGGCCUAACACAUGCAGGUCGAGCGCCCUUUCGGGGGAGCGGCGGACGGGUGAGUAACGCGUGGGAAUAUGCCCUUCUCUACGGAAUAGCCUCGGGAAACGGAGAGUAAUACCGAAUACGCCCUAUGGGGGAAAGGGUUAUCGGGGAAGGAUUAGCCCGCGUUGGAUUGGGUAGUUGGUGGGGUGAUGGCCUACCAAGCCGACGAGCCAUAGCUGGUAUGGGAGGAUGAUCCACCACACUGGGACUGAGACACGGCCCAGACUCCGACGGGGGGCAGCAGUGGGGUGUCUUAGGCAAUGGGGGCAACCCUGAUCUAGCCAUGCCGCGUGAGUGAUGCAGGCCUUAGGGUUGUAAAGCUCUUUCAGAUGGGAAGAUAAUGACGGUACCAGCAGAAGAAGCCCCGGCUAACUCCGUG
rnacentral:rRNA from 1 species